UCACUAGGUUGGUUCGUUAACGGAAAUAUUAACAGCAACUUAUAUGUACUUCCCCACUUGUUGCUCCAGGAGAUUUAUAGCCUCUUUUUCUGUCUUCAGAUACUACUUUGAAAACAAGAUGAAAGCCAUGGAAUCUCCGAGAAAAAUGUACAUCUUACAGACUUUCAGUGAGUUCUGGAACACCAGGAACCUAGAGUCCACACUAAUGAACAGCAGUUUCCUAACCUAAUGCGAGAGACUUAAGAUUUCUUCUGCGUCCCAUGAUCUUCUAAUAAUUGUCUUCUUAGCAAGACUAGACACAGCUCCAAGAAAUGUGCACUACCAUGAAUGUCUUCCAGCUAUCUUCUAUGACAGCAUUUCCCAGUGCAUUCUGUGGAAUAAUGGUACAGGGUGAUGUUCUAUGAAGAAAAAUA